rnacentral:rRNA from 1 species
AUCUCUGUAGAGUCUGCAUAUCAAUAAGCGGAGGAAAAGAAACUAACAAGGAUUCCCUUAGUAACGGCGAGUGAAGCGGGAAGAGCUCAAAUUUGAAAUCUCCAAGGUUCUACCUUGACGAAUUGUAGUUUAAAGAAGUGUUUUCUGUUGGUGUUUUGGUAAAAGUUCUCUGGAAUAGGACAUCAUAGAGGGUGAGAAUCCCGUAUUUGGUCAUUCCUUCUAGCUUUGUGAUACACUUUCAAAGAGUCGGAUUGUUUGGGAAUGCAGUCCAAAAUGGGUGGUAAAUUUCAUCUAAAGCUAAAUAUUGGCGAGAGACCGAUAGCGAACAAGAACCGUGAGGGAAAGAUGAAAAGAACUUUGAAAAGAGAGUUAAACAGUACGUGAAAUUGUCAAAAGGGAAGCGUUUGUCACCAGUGUUGUUUUUCCGAAAAUCAAUUAUAAAUGUUUUGUUUCUGAGGAGUGAUGACUUCAUCGGCUUCCUUCUCUCUUCACGAAACUUUUGUAAUGCACUUUUCGGUUAACAAGUCAACAUCAAUUUCUUUUGUUGUAAAAGAGUAUUCGGAAGGUGGCUUUCUUUUCGGAGAAAGUGUUUAUAGCCCUAUACUUCUACAAUCGGAGAGAUUGAGGUCUGCAGCGUAGAUCCUUCGGGGUUAGAUACAUUUGUGCUAAGUUAUAGCUUUUCAUAGACGACUUGUUGGCUAUGUUUAGUCUUGUAGCUUACUCGCUUAUGCUAUUUUACCUACGCUUAGGAUGUUGACUGAUAUGUAGUCGUA